UGAGGAAUAUUGGUCAAUGGGCGGGAGCCUGAACCAGCCAAGCCGCGUGAGGGAAGAAGGCCCUAUGGGUCGUAAACCUCUUUUGUCAGGGAACAAAAGCGAGUAUGUAUACUGGUCUGACUGUACCUGAAGAAAAAGCAUCGGCUAACUCCGUGCCAGCAGCCGCGGUAAUACGGAGGAUGCGAGCGUUAUCCGGAUUUAUUGGGUUUAAAGGGUGCGUAGGCGGCGGUGCAAGUCAGCGGUAAAAGCCCGGGGCUCAACCCCGGCGAGCCGUUGAAACUGCAGUGCUAGAGAAGGCGAGAGGUACGCGGAAUGCGCAGUGUAGCGGUGAAAUGCUUAGAUAUUGCGCAGAACUCCGAUUGCGGAGGCAGCGUACUGGCGCCUGACUGACGCUGAGGCACGAAAGCGUGGGGAUCGAACAGGAUUAGAUACC
rnacentral:rRNA from 1 species